rnacentral:rRNA from 1 species
GACGAACGCUGGCGGCGUGCUUAACACAUGCUAGUCUGGGGGCGGGGCUACCCGUCACCGGCGAACGGGUGCGGAACACGUGAGCGACCUGCCCUGUGUGUGGGGGAUAGCCGGCCCAACGGCCGGGUAAUACCGCAUACGUCCCGCGCUUGGAGGCGCUUGGAGAAAGCCCGGAAGGGCGCACGAGGAGGGGCUCGCGGCCUAUCAGCUAGUUGGGGGGGUAACGGCCCACCAAGGCGACGACGGGUAGCUGGUCUGAGAGGAUGGCCAGCCACAUUGGGACUGGGAGACGGCCCAGACUCCUACGGGAGGCAGCAGUGGGGAAUCUUGCGCAAAGGGCGAAAGCCUGACGCAGCGACGCCGCGUGGAGGAUGAGGCACUACGGGAUGUAAACUCCUGUUGCUCGGGACAAACGGCGGGCAUCGGCCCGCUUGACGGUACCGGGUGAGGAAGCACCGGAUAGCUCUGUG